rnacentral:RNase_P_RNA from 1 species
CAAGGCGGCUGGGCGGUCGCUGUUCCGGCUUCGUGCCGGGAUAGAGGAAAGUCCGAGCUUCGCCGGACAGGAUGCCCGCUAACGGCGGGGCGGGGCGACCCGACGGAAAGCGCCACAGAAACAGACCGCUCGCCCAUGGCGAGUAAGGGUGAAAAGGUGAGGUAAGAGCUCACCGCUCCGCUGGCAACAGCCGGAGGUCCAGGCAAGCCCCAUCCGAGGCAAGGCCGAAUAGAGGGAGCUACGGGUGUCCGGACCAUCCCUGGGUUGGCCGCUAGAGGCUGUCGGCAACGUCAGUCCCAGAUAGAUGAUCGCCGUCCGCUGUCGCGGAUACAGAACUCGGCUUACAGGCUGCCUUGGUUU